GUGUGUUUAUAGCUCUACACAAACUUAUUCAGUGAUGUAACGGACCGUGUGUUUAUAGCUCUACACAAACUUAUUCAGUGAUGUAACAGACCGUGUGUUUAUAGCUCUACACAAACUUAUUCAGUGAUGUAACGGACCGUGUGUUUAUAGCUCUACACAGACUUAUUCAGUGAUGUAACGGACCGUGUGCACGUGUUUAUAGCUCUACACAGACUUAUUCAAUGAUGUAACGGACCGUGUUUUUAUAGUUAUACACAAACUUAUUCAGUGAUGUAACGGACCGUGUGUUUAUAGCUCUAUACAGACUUAUUCAGUGAUGUAACGGACCGUGUGCACAUGUUUAUAGUUAUACACAAACUUAUUCAGUGAUGUAACGGACCGUGUGCACGUGUUUAUAGUUAUACACAAACUUAUUCAGUGAUGUAACGGACCGUGUGCACGUGUUUAUAGUUAUACACAAACUUAUUCAGUGAUGUAACGGACCUUGUGUUUAUAUUUAUUCAAUGAUGUAACGGACUGUGUGUUUAUAGCUCUGCACAUUUUUGCACAUCAUGUUGUGGGGUUUUUCCCCCCAAGUAAUCUCACUUAUGAUUCACAUUUGAUGUAUAUGAAAGUGAAUAAAAUACAUCUAACUAU
rnacentral:sRNA from 1 species